CACGUUUUCCGCGCCGUAGCUAACGCAUUAAGUGCCCCGCCUGGGGAGUACGGCCGCAAGGCUAAAACUCAAAGGAAUUGACGGGGGCCCGCACAAGCGGCGGAGCAUGCGGAUUAAUUCGAUGCAACGCGAAGAACCUUACCAAGGCUUGACAUGAACCGGAAAGAUCUGGAAACAGGUCCCCCACUUGUGGUCGGUUUACAGGUGGUGCAUGGUUGUCGUCAGCUCGUGUCGUGAGAUGUUGGGUUAAGUCCCGCAACGAGCGCAACCCUCGUUCUAUGUUGCCAGCACGUGAUGGUGGGGACUCAUAGGAGACUGCCGGGGUCAACUCGGAGGAAGGUGGGGACGACGUCAAAUCAUCAUGCCCCUUAUGUCUUGGGCUUCACGCAUGCUACAAUGGCCGGUACAAAGGGUUGCGAUACUGUGAGGUGGAGCUAAUCCCAAAAAGCCGGUCUCAGUUCGGAUUGGGGUCUGCAACUCGACCCCAUGAAGU
rnacentral:rRNA from 1 species